rnacentral:rRNA from 1 species
GAUGAACGCUGGCGGCGUGCCUAAUACAUGCAAGUCGAGCGAACAGACGAGGAGCUUGCUCCUCUGACGUUAGCGGCGGACGGGUGAGUAACACGUGGAUAACCUACCUAUAAUACUUGGAUAACUUCGGGAAACCGGAGCUAAUACCGCAUAAUAUAUUGAACCGCAUGGUUCAAUAGUUAAAGACGGUUUUGCUGUCACUUAUAGAUGGAUCCGCGCCGCAUUAGCUAGUUGGUAAGGUAACGGCUUACCAAGGCGACGAUGCGUAGCCGACCUGAGAGGGAGAUCGGGCACACUGGAACUGAGAAAAGGUCCAGACUCCUAAGGGAGGCCAGCGUAGGGAAUCUUUCGACAUGGGCGACAGCCUGGCGGCGCAAAGCCGGGUGAGUGAUGAAGGUCUUCGGAUCGUAAAACUCUGUUAUUAGGGAAGAACAAAUGUGUAAGUAACUAUGCACGUCUUGACGGUAACUAAUCAGAAAGCCACGGCUAACUACGUG